GUCUGCGGCCAUUCCACCCUGAAUGCACCCGCUCUCAUCUGACCUAAGCAACUAAGCAAGGUCAGCCCUGGUUAGGACUUAGAUGAGAGUACUGGCUUUAUUUCUGGCUUCCUAAACC
rnacentral:rRNA from 1 species